GUGCUUGCUUCGGCAGCACAGGUACUAAAAUGGGAAUGAUACAGAGAAGAUUAGCAUGGCCCCUGCACAAGGAUGACAUGCAGAUUCAUGAAGCCUUCCAUAUUAAG
rnacentral:snRNA from 1 species